UCUACGGGAGGCAGCAGUGGGGAAUAUUGGGCAAUGGGCGCAAGCCUGACCCAGCAACGCCGCGUGAAGGAAGAAGGCUUUCGGGUUGUAAACUUCUUUUCUCAGGGACGAAGCAAGUGACGGUACCUGAGGAAUAAGCCACGGCUAACUACGUGCAAGCAGCCGCGGUAAUACGUAGGUGGCAAGCGUUAUCCGGAUUUACUGGGUGUAAAGGGCGUGUAGGCGGGACUGCAAGACAGAUGUGAAACCCACGGGCUCAACCUGUGGCCUGCAUUUGAAACUGUAGUUCUUGAGUAGUGGAGAGGCAGACGGAAUUCGUAGUGUAGCGGUGAAAUGCGUAGAUAUUAGGAGGAACACCAGUGGCGAAGGCGGUCUGCUGGACAGCAACUGACGCUGAGGCGCGAAAGCGUGGGGAGCAAACAGGAUUAGAUACCCCUGUAGUC
rnacentral:rRNA from 1 species